CAGUCGCCACGGUAACACGUAGGUGGCAAGCGUUGUCCGGAAUUAUUGGGCGUAAAGGGCUCGCAGGCGGUUUCUUAAGUCUGAUGUGAAAGCCCCCGGCUCAACCGGGGAGGGUCAUUGGAAACUGGGAAACUUGAGUGCAGAAGAGGAGAGUGGAAUUCCACGUGUAGCGGUGAAAUGCGUAGAGAUGUGGAGGAACACCAGUGGCGAAGGCGACUCUCUGGUCUGUAACUGACGCUGAGGAGCGAAAGCGUGGGGAGCGAACAGGAUUAGAUACCCCCGUAGUCCCUGUCUCUUAUAC
rnacentral:rRNA from 1 species